UACAGAGGGUGCGAGCGUUGUCCGGAAUCACUGGGCGUAAAGGGCGCGUAGGCGGUCUGUUAAGCGUGUGGUGAAAGCUCGGGGCUCAACCCCGCGUCGGCCAUGCGAACUGGGAGACUGGAGCCGAUCAGAGGCAGGCGGAAUUCCGGGUGUAGCGGUGGAAUGCGUAGAUAUCUGGAGGAACACCGGUGGCGAAGGCGGCAUCCUGGACCAAUACUGACACUGAGGAGCGAAAGCCAGGGGAGCAAACGGG
rnacentral:rRNA from 1 species